rnacentral:rRNA from 1 species
UACGUAGGGUGCGAGCGUUAAUCGGAAUUACUGGGCGUAAAGCGUGCGCAGGCGGUUUUGUAAGUCAGAUGUGAAAUCCCCGGGCUUAACCUGGGAACUGCGUUUGAAACUACAAGGCUAGAGUGUGGCAGAGGGGGGUGGAAUUCCACGUGUAGCAGUGAAAUGCGUAGAGAUGUGGAGGAACACCGAUGGCGAAGGCAGCCCCCUGGGUUAACACUCACGCUCAGGCACGAAAGCGUGGGGAGCAAACAGG